GGCUCAGGACGAACGCUGGCGGCGUGCUUAACACAUGCAAGUCGAACGGUGAAGCUCCAGCUUGCUGGAGUGGAUCAGUGGCGAACGGGUGAGUAACACGUGAGCAACCUGCCCCUGACUCUGGAAUAAGCGCUGGAAACGGCGUCUAAUACUGGAUACGAGAAGGGUCCGCAUGGGCACUUUCUGGAAAGUUUUUCGGUUGGGGAUGGGCUCGCGGCCUAUCAGCUUGUUGGUGAGGUAAUGGCUCACCAAGGCGACGACGGGUAGCCGGCCUGAGAGGGCGACCGGCCACACUGGGACUGAGACACGGCCCAGACUCCUACGGGAGGCAGCAGUGGGGAAUAUUGCACAAUGGGCGAAAGCCUGAUGCAGCGACGCCGCGUGAGGGAUGACGGCCUUCGGGUUGUAAACCUCUUUCAGCAGGGAAGAAGCGAAAGUGAC
rnacentral:rRNA from 1 species